GUGCUUGCUUCAGCAGCACAUAUACUAAAAUUGAAACAAUACAGAGAAGAUUAGCAUGGCCCCUGUGCAAGGAUGACAGACAAAUUCAUGAAGCAUUCCAUAUUUUU
rnacentral:snRNA from 1 species